CUUUAAGGUGCCAUGGCGUCACCUGACGACAUCAACUUUGAGCCCCUCUAGCGCGCAAACCGCAGCAUUCUGACAUCUAACUCUAAUGCGUACGUGAAGGGGAAGGCCUUGUGAUCGAUUUGAUACUCUGGGUCGAUACUAUCGCCCCAUCGAAGUCGCGCUACGACUCCUCAAAGAUGGCGAGACGCAAGGCAUCGCUAUAGACGUAAACAGUGCCCUCCGCGGAUGCGUCGCCUAGGUCCGCUCGAACGUUUUCAACUCAACCAAAGGUGCCGUUUUUUGAUAGAGAAAUCAAGAAUUUUGAGUCAGCUCAGUUGGAGAAAUAUGUAUUUGCUGCUUUAGCAAGACUUGGAAUGUGAGAGGAAUUUGCUCUCACUUGUCAUGUAUGAUAUUUCGAAGAUAUCCUGUGGAUGGAGUGCUGCUACCGUUUCAGUGCUGCUGGACUUCAAAAGUGCUUUGUUUUUGUGAUGUGAUGUCCACUGGAGACAUAGUGAAUAUUUACGUUACUCACUGACAUGCUGCAGAAUUCGAACCAGACGAUUCUUUGCACUCAUAGACUGUUGACUUGUCAAAGAAAAUUUCUUGAGAAGGAAAAGAGUAUAUUAGAGAGUAAUAAUUGUAAUAUUGUGAAUGAGUUAGACUUCAUAUUUUUUGUUUUUGUAUCUCCUUCAGACCUAAAAUAACACUUCUUGCUGUUUGGAAACUUGAGUUUCCAUGAGCGCGUUUGGUUGCGAAAAGGAAUUUGAAGUAAAUGUGUGCUUGUUGCUGGUGUGUGUCUGUUUAGUGUGGGCUGGUGAAGGUCCCAAAGAGUAAGUCAGACAAAUUUUCAAGGAAUUAAAAGUUUUCUUAUCAUAUAUAGUUAUGUAAAUGUUCUAUUAUGUGAUUUUCUCCAAAAGUAAUCAAACGCUUAGCUGCAAGUGGAGAAAACAACCAAGUUGAUAUGUAGUGCAGCCCAUUUAUUUACCCUACCACAAUGUUGGUUUCUCUAUUGUAGUUUGAGAGUAAGUUAGAAGACCGACGGGAGAAGAUUUAUAGUUUCAACUACUCAUCCUCAGGUAUAGAAAAUUAUGUCCUUUGCUGUAUUUGUUGAAUGUAAUAAACCUCUAGACUAAAA